rnacentral:piRNA from 1 species
UGCACAUGCUGGUUUUUGAAAGUGAGC